ACACUGUCUGGGUGGGAGGAGUUAUGAUAUCACAUCAAAAAUCAUUGAUGAGAAUCUAUAUAACCUUACACGGUCUGAGUUCAGUCUGUCGUCUUAGCAUUAAGAGAGAUGAUACGAAUUAUAAUCGUGUUUCAGUCACUGUGCUGGAUUCAAGGAGUUCAGGGAGCGAAUGAUGUCUCUCAGCCCAAUGCACUUUGGGCUAAAAAGGGCCAAUCAGCCACAAUAACCUGCUCACACACCAAGGGUGCACUUUACAAUCAAAUGUACUGGUUCUGUCAGUAUCGUGGAAAGAGCAUGGAGCUUAUAGUGCUCACGAACACCUUCAGCAAUCCAGACUUUGGAAAAUUCAACCAGAAUAAAUUUUCAGUGAAUAAAACAGUUCCUGAGGAAGGAUUCUUCACAGUGAAGGAUGUGGAUUAUAAUGACAGCGCUGUGUAUUUCUGUGCUGUGAGAGAACACAGUGUUAUAACCACAGGGCAGAGCUGUACAAAAACACACGGUGUGUCAGUCAGGAAGAAACAGAGACACCUACAGGGGGCAGUAUAACACAACAA